GAACGCUAGCUACAGGCUUAACACAUGCAAGGUCGAGGGGCAGCACGGGGUAUGGCUGCCAUCCCUGGUGGCGACCGGCGCACGGGUGAGUAACGCGUAUCCAACCUGCCCGCAACCGCGGAAUAGCCCGCCGAAAGGCGGAUUAAUGCCGCAUGAGCUCGCGUGGGGGCAUCUGCCCGCGAGCAAAGGUUCACUCCGGUUGCGGAUGGGGAUGCGUCCGAUUAGGCUGCAGGCGGGGCAACGGCCCACCUGGCCUACGAUCGGUAGGGGUUCUGAGAGGAAGGUCCCCCACAUUGGAACUGAGACACGGUCCAAACUCCUACGGGAGGCAGCAGUGAGGAAUAUUGGGCAAUGGGCGAAAGCCUCGACCCAGCAACGCCGCGUGAAGGAAGAAGGUCUUCGGAUUGUAAACUUCUUUUAUGAGGGACGAAGGACGUGACGGUACCUCAUGAAUAAGCCACGGCUAACUACGUGCCAGCCGCCGC
rnacentral:rRNA from 1 species